rnacentral:rRNA from 1 species
UACGUAGGGUGCAAGCGUUGUCCGGAAUUAUUGGGCGUAAAGAGCUCGUAGGCGGUUUGUCGCGUCUGCUGUGAAAACUCGGGGCUUAACUCCGGGCCUGCAGUGGGUACGGGCAGACUAGAGUGCGGUAGGGGAGACUGGAAUUCCCGGUGUAGCGGUGAAAUGCGCAGAUAUCAUUAGGAACUCCGGUGGCGAAGGCGGCUCGCUGGAUCUUUUCUGACGCUGAGGCGCGAAAGCUAGGGGAGCAAACGGG